rnacentral:rRNA from 1 species
AACGAACGCUGGCGGCGUGCUUAAUACAUGCAAGUCGAACGAGAACUAGGAGCUUGCUCCUAGGGACAGUGGCAGACGGGUGAGUAACGCGUGGCAACCUACCCUUCGGUGGGGGACAACAGUUGGAAACGACUGCUAAUACCCCAUACGUCCUACGGGAGAAAGAUUCAUCGCCGAUGGAUGGGGCCGCGUUAGAUUAGCUUGUUGGUGGGGUAAAGGCCUACCAAGGCGACGAUCUAUAGCGGGUCUGAGAGGAUGAUCCGCCACACUGGGACUGAGACACGGCCCAGACUCCUACGGGAGGCAGCAGUAGGGAAUAUUGGACAAUGGGCGAAAGCCUGAUCCAGCAACGCCGCGUGAAUGAUGAAGGCCUUAGGGUUGUAAAAUUCUUUCGCUAGGGAAGAUAAUGACUGUACCUAGUAAAGAAGCCCCGGCUAACUCCG